rnacentral:tRNA from 1 species
UCCCUGGUGGCUUAGUGGUAAAGAAUCUGCCUGCCAAUGCAGGAGACAUGGGUUCGAUCCCUGAUCCGGGAG